rnacentral:rRNA from 1 species
AUACGUAGGUGGCGAGCGUUGUCCGGAUUUACUGGGCGUAAAGGGUGCGUAGGCGGAUGUUUAGGUGAGAUGUGAAAUACCCGGGCUUAACUUGGGUGCUGCAUUUCAAACUGGAUAUUUAGAGUGCAGGAGAGGAGAAUGGAAUUCCUAGUGUAGCGGUGAAAUGCGUAGAGAUUAGGAAGAACACCAGUGGCGAAGGCGAUUCUCUGGACUGUAACUGACGCUGAGGCACGAAAGCGUGGGUAGCAAACAGGAUUAGAUACCCUGGUAGUCCACGCCGUAAACGAUGAGUACUAGGUGUAGGAGGUAUCGACCCCUUCUGUGCCGCAGUAAACACAUUAAGUACUCCGCCUGGGAAGUACGAUCGCAAGAUUAAA